rnacentral:lncRNA from 1 species
AUUUUACUAUUAUGUCUUUUGUGUUUGUCUUUCAUAUUUUGCAUGCAUAACAAAAUUGUGACAAAUAAAUAUUAGCUCAUUGAUUGUCUAAGUUCAAACUGAUGAUAAGUGGCAUUGUAAGAACGUUUACAUUGCAAGAAAGACGACUUACAUCGGCAAAUAACCUAAACGAGUAAAAGAAUCGAAGUGAGCAUUUGAUUCAAAUACUUAGAAUGAUUAUUAUGUCGUUUACAAUUCCAAUUAGAGAGAUGACUAGUCUUGGUUAUCAAAGCAGUUGACUCCACAAGUAGAGAUAUAGAUGUAUUUGUAAUAGCCAUUUCGCCCGAGCCCGUUAGAAUAAAAAAAAGAAAUUAAAAGCCAAAAAAAUAAAAUAAAAAACCUCAAAAAAAGAAAUAAAAGGUCCAAUGUCCAUUUACAAAUUUUUGGGCCUAAACCAAACCAAACCCAAUCAUUAAACCCAAAUCCUAGCCCAAAUUAUUACCCAAGCUAAACCUAAUAAAUUCAGACCCAAUGGCCCCAAUAGCCCACUUCUAAAAUGGACCAAUGGCCCAAUGGCCCAAACAACCCAGAUUUUUGUUCCAGAAACUGGAACCCUAGCCAUCGCGCCGCAGCAACGGCCUUCACCCCCAGCAGUUCAAAUCACAGGGCCCGAGCAAGGUUCUGGAAACUCUUGCGGUUUCUCCACACGUGCCACGCCAACACACCUGCAAAACAGAAUAACAGCAGUGUAGAUUGACAGCAAAUAGAGGAAGAUAACAAAAUAACGGCAACAAAAAUAGAGUAGAAAAUGAAAUUUGUAAAUUUUGUAUUUUAUUUUGGCUAUAAAAAGGCUGAUUGUAAUCUAAGAGGAGGAACUUUUUUCUUUUUUUCAUUUGCACGCACACUAAAUACGCAUAUUGAAAUACAAAAAAGACUACUGAAAUUAAGAGGUGAUUCCUAAAUCAAAGUUCUGAAUUUUUUUUAUUUUGUUUUUUCCCCGAUUUUGUUCUUUUGAUCUUUCAUUUUUCGCAUAAAAAAGAAGGAAAAAAAUGGAAAAGAGAUUUUACCUUAAGAAAGGGCCACAGAUUUUGUUUCGCUUCAUUGAAAUCGAAGCUAGAAGUGAAUCUGGAGGCUAUAAAAUGUCCCCCAAAGUUUAAAGGCGUUGAUCGCCGUUGAGGGAGGACCGACGUUCGAAGAAAGGGAUUUAAGGCUGAAGAUUGGAAAGAAAGGAGCUAGGGUUUGGUUCAGCCGAAUUAGGCUAGAUUUUAGCCUUUAUAAAGGAGCAAAAACGGCGUCGUUUUAGGCCAGCUUCAAUGGUCUCAAAACUGCACCGUUUAGGAACCAUGACCCGAGGACCCGGCCCAGACGCAAACAGAUUCUCGCGUUUUGGUCUUCGAGGGUUAUUUGUGCUACGAGUCCCUCCCCUCUUACAUUGAUCUUUAAUUUAGCCUUAAUUAUGUUUUAUUUGUUUUUACAUUAUCCUCUGUAUUUGCUUAUUGUUUCAAUUUAGUCCUUGUUUAAAUGGUGCGUUUCGAAGCUUGAGAUAUUUAUGUUUUAGAUCCCUGAUCAUUGGUACAUGUUUCAUUUUAAUCUAAUUUUUUCCUUUGGUUUA